rnacentral:rRNA from 1 species
UACGUAGGGGGCGAGCGUUGUCCGGAUUUAUUGGGCGUAAAGAGCUCGUAGGCGGUUUGGCAAGUCGGGUGUGAAAACUCCGGGCUCAACUCGGAGACGCCACUCGAUACUGCCAUGACUCGAGUCCGGUAGGGGAGUGCGGAAUUCCUGGUGUAGCGGUGAAAUGCGUAGAUAUCUGGAGGAACACCGGUGGCGAAGGCGGCAUCCUGGACCGAGAUUGACGCUGAUGCGCGAAAGCCAGGGGAGCAAACGGG